UACGUAGGGGCGAGCGUUGUCCGGAAUGACUGGGCGUAAAGGGCGUGUAGGCGGCCAAUUAAGUCUGGAGUGAAAGUCCUGUUUUUAAGGUGGGAAUUGCUUUGGAUACUGGUUGGCUUGAGUGCGGAAGAGGUAAGUGGAAUUCCCAGUGUAGCGGUGAAAUGCGUAGAGAUUGGGAGGAACACCAGUGGCGAAGGCGACUUACUGGGCCGUAACUGACGCUGAGGCGCGAAAGCGUGGGGAGCGAACAGGAUUAGAUACCCUGGUAGUCCCUGAGCGGG
rnacentral:rRNA from 1 species